rnacentral:rRNA from 1 species
UACGUAGGGUGCGAGCGUUGUCCGGAAUUAUUGGGCGUAAGGAGCUUGUAGGCGGUUUGUCGCGUCUGCUGUGAAAUUUCGGGGCUCAACCCCGAACUUGCAGUGGGUACGGGCAGACUAGAGUGUGGUAGGGGAGACUGGAAUUCCUGGUGUAGCGGUGAAAUGCGCAGAUAUCAGGAGGAACACCGAUGGCGAAGGCAGGUCUCUGGGCCACUACUGACGCUGAGAAGCGAAAGCAUGGGGAGCGAACAGG